UACAGAGGUAGCUAGCGUUGUUCGGAAUGACUGGGUGUAAAGAAUAUGUAGGCGGUUUUGUAAGUAGAAUGUGAAAUCCUUUGGCUCAACCAAAGAACUGCAUUCUAAACUGCAUUACUUGAGUGCGAGAGAGGAAAGCGGAAUUUCUGGUGUAGCGGUGAAAUGCGUAGAUAUCAGAAGGAACACCUGUGGCGAAGGCGGCUUUCUGGCUCGCAACUGACGCUGAGAUAUGAAAGCUAGGGGAG
rnacentral:rRNA from 1 species